UUAAGUGAAUAAGGGCGCACGGUGGAUGCCUUGGCACUAGGAGCCGAUGAAGGACGGGACUAACACCGAUAUGCUUUGGGGAGCUGUACGUAAGCUAUGAUCCAGAGAUUUCCGAAUGGGGGAACCCAGCAUCUUUAAUAGGAUGUUACGAUUGUGUGAAUACAUAGCACAUUCGAGGUAGACGCAGAGAACUGAAACAUCUAAGUACCUGCAGGAAGAGAAAGAAAAUUCGAUUCCCUGAGUAGCGGCGAGCGAAACGGGAAAAGCCCAAACCAGCAAGCUUGCUUGUUGGGGUUGUAGGACUCCAAUAUGGUAGUUCUUUCAGAUAGUCGAAUGACUUGGAAAAGUCAGUCAAAGAGGGUAAAAACCCCGUAGACGAAAUGUGGAAGACACCUAGGAGGAUCCUGAGUACGGCGGAACACGAGAAAUUCCGUCGGAAUCCGGGAGGACCAUCUCCCAAGGCUAAAUACUCCCUAGUGACCGAUAGUGAACCAGUACCGUGAGGGAAAGGUGAAAAGCACCCCGGAAGGGGAGUGAAAUAGAACCUGAAACCGUGUGCCUACAACAAGUCAAAGCCCGUUAAUGGGUGAUGGCGUGCCUUUUGUAGAAUGAACCGGCGAGUUACGAUUGCAUGCGAGGUUAAGUUGAAGAGACGGAGCCGCAGCGAAAGCGAGUCUGAAUAGGGCGUUUGAGUAUGUAGUCGUAGACCCGAAACCAUGUGAUCUACCCAUGUCCAGGUUGAAGGUGCGGUAAAACGCACUGGAGGACCGAACCCACGUACGUUGAAAAGUGCGGGGAUGAGGUGUGGGUAGCGGAGAAAUUCCAAACGAACUUGGAGAUAGCUGGUUCUCUCCGAAAUAGCUUUAGGGCUAGCCUCGGAAUUGAGAAUGAUGGAGGUAGAGCACUGUUUGGACUAGGGGCCCAUCUCGGGUUACCGAAUUCAGAUAAACUCCGAAUGCCAUUCAUUCAUAUCCGGGAGUCAGACUGUGAGUGAUAAGAUCCAUAGUCGAAAGGGAAACAGCCCAGACCACCAGCUAAGGUCCCAAAAUAUAUGUUAAGUGGAAAAGGAUGUGGGGUUGCACAGACAACUAGGAUGUUGGCUUAGAAGCAGCCAUCAUUUAAAGAGUGCGUAAUAGCUCACUAGUCGAGUGACCCUGCGCCGAAAAUGUACCGGGGCUAAACAUAUUACCGAAGCUGUGGAGUACACCUUUAGGUGUAUUGGUAGGAGAGCGUUCUAAGGGCGUUGAAGGCAGAUCGUGAGGACUGCUGGAGCGCUUAGAAGUGAGAAUGCCGGUAUGAGUAGCGAAAGACAGGUGAGAAUCCUGUCCACCGAAUGACUAAGGUUUCCUGGGGAAGGCUCGUCCGCCCAGGGUUAGUCGGGACCUAAGCCGAGGCCGACAGGCGUAGGCGAUGGAUAACAGGUUGAUAUUCCUGUACCCGUUGUUUUUGUUUGAGCAAUGGAGGGACGCAGGAGGCUAAGGAAUGCAGACGAUCGGAAAUGUCUGUCCAAGCAGUAAGUCUGAAGAGGAGUCAAAUGCUUCUUUUCUUAAGGACAAGCUGUGAUGGGGAGGGAAAUAAUAGUACCGAAGUUCCUGAUGUCACACUGCCGAGAAAAGCUUCUAGUGAGAAAACAGCGGCCCGUACCGCAAACCGACACAGGUAGUCGAGGAGAGAAUCCUAAGGUGAGCGAGAGAACUCUCGUUAAGGAACUCGGCAAAAUGACCCCGUAACUUCGGGAGAAGGGGUGCUGAUCAUACGAUCAGCCGCAGUGAAUAGGCCCAAGCGACUGUUUAUCAAAAACACAGGUCUCUGCAAAAUCGUAAGAUGAAGUAUAGGGGCUGACGCCUGCCCGGUGCUGGAAGGUUAAGAGGAGUGCUUAGCGCAAGCGAAGGUACGAAUUGAAGCCCCAGUAAACGGCGGCCGUAACUAUAACGGUCCUAAGGUAGCGAAAUUCCUUGUCGGGUAAGUUCCGACCCGCACGAAAGGCGUAACGAUUUGGGCACUGUCUCAACGAGAGACUCGGUGAAAUUUUAGUACCUGUGAAGAUGCAGGUUACCCGCGACAGGACGGAAAGACCCCAUGGAGCUUUACUGUAGUUUGAUAUUGAGUGUCUGUACCGCAUGUACAGGAUAGGUAGGAGUCGUAGAAAUCGGAACGCUAGUUUCGAUGGAGGCGCUGGUGGGAUACUACCCCUGCGUUAUGGCCACUCUAACCCGCACCACUAAUCGUGGUGGGAGACAGUGUCAGAUGGGCAGUUUGACU
rnacentral:rRNA from 1 species